rfam:Schistosoma margrebowiei strain Zambia genome assembly, scaffold: SMRZ_scaffold0005385
AAAAAGGGUUCCCACCUAGUGGUGACCGGUUUACCUGCCGGGCGGAAUGGCGAUCAAGACAUUCCGGGGACAUAAUAUUUGACCACUGGACAGUCGGCUACAUCUGGCUGACGUCCAA